GCCCCGGUGGUGUGGUUGUAGAGCACGCGUCCCCUGAUAGGAUGAAACGCGGGCUCGAUUCUCGCCUGAGGCC